GCCUGUUUAUCAAAAACAUGUCUUUUUGAAAAUAAUUUAAAGUCUAAUCUGCCCACUGAUAAAAUAUUGAAGGGCUGCAGUAUUUUGACUGUACAAAGGUAGCAUAAUCAUUAGUCUCUUAAUUAGUGACUUGUAUGAAGGAUUGGAUGAAAUAUAAACUGUCUCAAAAAUAAUUAAUUGAAAUUAAUUUUUUAAUUAAAAAGUUAAAAUAGAUUAAAAAGACGAGAAGACCCUAUAGAGUUUAAUAUUAAAUUAAAUUUAAAUCAUUUAUAAAUUUAUUUAUUUAUAAAUUUUAUUUAAUAUUUUGUUGGGGUGAUAAAAAAAUAAAAUAAACUUUUUUUAGUAAUAGCCAUAGAUAAGUGAUUAAAUGAUCCAAUUUUAUUGAUUAAAAGAAAAAAUUACCUUAGGGAUAACAGCGUAAUUUUUUUUUUUAGUUCUUAUAAGAAAUUAAAUUUGCGACCUCGAUGUUGGAUUAAGAUAAAAUUUAA
rnacentral:rRNA from 1 species